rnacentral:rRNA from 1 species
UACGUAGGGUGCGAGCGUUAAUCGGAAUUACUGGGCGUAAAGCGUGCGCAGGCGGUUUUGUAAGCCAGAUGUGAAAUCCCCGGGCUUAACCUGGGAAUGGCAUUUGGGACUGCAAGGCUUGAGUGCGGCAGAGGAGACUGGAAUUCCUGGUGUAGCAGUGAAAUGCGUAGAUGUCAGGAGGAAUACCGAUGGCGAAGGCAGGUCUCUGGGCUGACACUGACGCUCAUGCACGAAAGCGUGGGGAGCAAACAGG